ACUAGCAAGAGAAGCAGUCGGUGUGACUUUCUAGAAGGUUCUCAGGCUACAUCAUGAAAGACAGCAAGACAGCUUGUGUUCAGAAGAUGGCUGACUAUCUACAGGAGCUGAGGUAGAUCCCAGAAGAUGUGGGUUCCAAUCCAGCUGUGCCUUUCCCUAGCUCUGUGACCUUGGCUUUUUGAAGACUGUACAGCAGGAGAAAAUCCAUUACCGAGUUCUGAGCUGCCUGUUCUGCAAUACUAAGCUUUUCUUUAUGAAUGGCUUCUGUCCAUGAAGACGACCAGGAAGGGGACUAU